rnacentral:lncRNA from 1 species
AAUGUAUUUCAUUUGUUUAUUACGUAUCCAGACUGGUCUAAUCCAUAUAUGUCAUUAUAUGCACGCUUACCGUUAUUGUUUAUUAUAAGCUAUACUACAUAAACAACAGAAUCGUCCAAAGUCUAAACAAUUACGAUAAAGAAAAACAAGCACUUAUUGGAUCUUAAAGUACCAUUUUCCGUUCAUUUGCAAUGUGAUGAAAAUGUCGCGUGAUCCCGGCCAUUUGCGUUUACAUAAGCUUAACUUAAGGGUCUGUUUUAUCACUGGACAUAUAAAGCAGUAUAUUCGGCUAUUUCGUUUGGAACUAGAAAAUUUAACCUGCAAAAUUUCAUCACAUUGAUACAAAUGAAAAUGCAGAAAACUGGCAUUAUAAUUCUAAUGAUCUGCCUGGUAUUGGUAGUUUGUAUGGAAGAAUCUACGGCCAGACGAACUUGGCGUCAGCGGAAUUGCUGUGCUAGAAGACAUUGUGGAAGAUGGGAGCGAUGUUCACAGAUUGGGAGAAGAUGCCGAUGUUUAAGUGCAUGGAUGCAUGCCAGAGUGGAUCACAAUGACAACCAGUUUAAUGAUGGGAUUCUGACGGCUUAAUGUAUACGUCGUUUUUUUUCACGUAUUUGUGUAUUAAUCCGCGGAUUAUAUCGCCUAGACCAGCGACUGCUGGGGAUACUCCACAAAUUGCUACUAACAAUAAUGACAUUCUAACUGUUCAUCAAAGAGUGUUUUUGCUGUAAACACCAAAGUUAACAGAACAGAGCAUAACAUAAUUUUAUUGAAUAUUUAUAUAUAUGCCAACGUUAAGUUUAAUAAAUUCUAACACUUUGAUCAAUUAGCAAGCAGGUGUAUUGCCUUGACAAUUACUACUGGAGCUGAUUAUAUUCUGACAUCAUCAUAUUUUUUCCUGUACUUUAAUAGAACCGUAAAUCAGUAAAAAUACCAUCUUACAUAUGAUAACCAAAAACACUUUCAUGAAUCUUUAUGUCUGUGUAUAUUUUAGUUGUCUCCGUUUCAAAAAAUAUUCAAAACCCAUAGUUGUGUACUGUUAACUGCCAUUUUAGCACGUUAGAAAUAACGACAUAAAAUCUCAACGUUCUGUAUCAAUAUUUCAUAUAUUUAUAGCUACAGCACAAUUUUCUACAAUUCAUAUUUGUAGUUCGAUACAAAUUAUACAUCUUCUUUAUACUUCUUCUGAUUAUACAUCAUCGUGCCAUCGCGCCAUCGCGUUUUCGUCAUCGUAUCAUCGUGCAUCGCGAUUUAGAAUUAAAUAAAAAGUCACGAUUGUCCAAACGGAACACCAUAUUCUAGUAAAAAUUCAUGAUGCUGUUUAAGAUGUUCUUAAAGCGUCACAAGAUCGUUAAAAUCGUCAUUAUUUUUUUAUUUACAUUUUUUUUUGCAUUUAUUUCAACAUUUCAAGUUUAUAAAUUUUGCUUAGAAAUAAAUCUUUACAUUACA